rnacentral:rRNA from 1 species
AUAUUAAUAAGCGGAGGAAAAGAAACUAACAAGGAUUCCCCUAGUAACGGCGAGUGAAGCGGGAACAGCUCAAAUUUGAAAUCCUCCCUUCACCGGGACGAAUUGUAGUUUAGAGAAGUGUUUUCUGGGGUAGCUCAGGCAUAGGUCCUUUGGAAAGAGGCGUCAUAGAGGGUGAGAACCCCGUCUGUGGCCUGAAGCCUACUCCUCUGCGAUACACUUUCGACGAGUCGAGUUGUUUGGGAAUGCAGCUCAAAAUGGGUGGUAAAUUUCAUCUAAAGCUAAAUAUUGGCGAGAGACCGAUAGCGCACAAGUAGAGUGAUCGAAAGAUGAAAAGCACUUUGAAAAGAGAGUUAAAAAGUACGUGAAAUUGUUGAAAGGGAAGCGCUUGAGACCAGACUCGAUUUGUGGUGAUCAGCUGUGCUUCUGUACAGUGCACUUGCCACAGAUUGGGCCAGCAUCGGUUCUGACGGUGGGAUAAAAGGGUGAGGAAUGUGGCUUCCUUCGGGGAGUGUUAUAGCUUCGCUCACAAUGCCACCAGUUGGGACCGAGGACCGCGCUUCGGCUAGGAUGCUGGCAUAAUGGUCUUAAGCGA